GGAAGGUGUUUGUGACGCCGAUAUCCAUACUCAGUUGUUAGAAAGCGCAAUGGCUGCGGGUGGUAGAAAUUGUAUUGUCGUCUGCGAUGCGAUGCUACCUCAUGUCGAGAUGGAAUCUGGUCGCUAUGUUCCUAAUCAGAAAGGCAAAAUGGAAAGGACUUACAUAUCUGAUUGUUCUUCUAUCGGAGUUACAGGCAAGUGCGUUGCCUUAUACAGAUUGAAAAGCGUGGCCAUUGACAUUUUAAAUGUUGCAAAUGAGUACUAUUUGGCUCAAUUUGAUAUUAAUCAAGAGACUGAAAAUGUAGUGUCAGGUAUCUACAAGACUUUGCAUCGAGUGUAUCUACCGGCGUUACAGGUUUGCAAGGGUUGGGGUCACCUUAACCCUCCCAAUCCUAAAAGCAAUGACAUCGUAAAGUUCUACAUUUCAAAGAUAAUGCUCUUUGUUGAUUAUC